rnacentral:rRNA from 1 species
AUUGAACGCUGGCGGCAGGCUUAACACAUGCAAGUCGAGCGGGGGAAGGUAGCUUGCUACCGGACCUAGCGGCGGACGGGUGAGUAAUGCUUAGGAAUCUGCCUAUUAGUGGGGGACGACAUCUCGAAAGGGAUGCUAAUACCGCAUACGUCCUACAGGAGAAAGCAGGGGAUCUUCGGACCUUGCGCUAAUAGAUGAGCCUAAGUCGGAUUAGCUAGUUGGUGGGGUAAAGGCAUACCAAGGCGACGAUCUGUAGCGGGUCUGAGAGGAUGAUCCGCCACACUGGGACUGAGACACGGCCCAGACUCCUACGGGAGGCAGCAGUGGGGAAUAUUGGACAAUGGGGGGAACCCUGAUCCAGCCAUGCCGCGUGUGUGAAGAAGGCCUUAUGGUUGUAAAGCACUUUAAGCGAGGAGGAGGCUACUUUAGUUAAUACCUAGAGAUAGUGGACGUUACUCGCAGAAUAAGCACCGGCUAACUCUGUGCCAGCCGCCGCAGUAAGAC